GUAUUCUAAUGUCCUCAAACGGGUAAAUGGCUUACAGAACCCAAAGGUAUCUGCUGUAGGAAACAUCUCAACAACUAUAACUUGGUCCUUCAUUCCUGUACCACCAUUUGGCUCCUCAGGGGUAGGAAGCCCAGGGAUAGAGCAAUGAGGCCAGAGAGAGAAGGUCCAGACUGCUGAGCUGAGGGUCCCUGGGCCGGAACUUGGAGAAGAGGGCAUGCCUGGGUUCCCCUACCAGUCACUGGCAAGUAGCACAGAGGCAGUGAGCAGAAAGACUUCCUAGGACUACUGAGGAGCUAAACCUCUCCCGGAAGGUGGGGAACAUGGACAAUGACAUGACUGGAGGACCAAGCCAUGAAGAGGAUGCUGGGUUCCUGAAGCUGUGGGAGGAGCUGCAGGCCAGCAGAGUGAUGGUGUUAAAAACCAUGGGAGGGGGAGCGCAUCAGCCUCAAACUAAUCCUCAGAGUACAGGAGGAGGCACCAGUCCGCUGGAAAAUAAGGAUCUACCACUUUGCACAAUCUUUGUAUAUUGCGUGCUCUAUUGUACUAUAUCAGCAUAUUGAUGC